rnacentral:snoRNA from 1 species
UGCACUUAUGUAUGUUUUUGUUCAACUUGUGGACAAAGACUUAUAAAUAGGUGCAAAAAAUAAAUCUCUUUUGCAACCCAGAACUCAUUGUUCAGUAUGAGUUUUGAUACAUAUAAGAAGGGAUAUU